GGCAAGAUGGCCGAGUGGUUAAGGCGGCAGGUUUAAGUUUUACUUCUUAUUAGAAGGAGACGCAUUCUGCUGGAGCAAUCCUCCUGGGUUCGAGCCCCAGUCUUGCCA